CCUAUACAGAUGUAUCAACGCAAGACAGUUGAGCAUUUCCCUGUAGGAACAUGUUUUCACAGAAGCAUUGACAACAAGUCUUAUUGAGUAGCUUAUAAGUUGAAAUAAGAUGAGUUAAUGUGGAAUAGGUUAACCGUAAGACCUUUAGUUGAGAUACUAUAAAAUUGACCUAGAAAUACUGAAUGCUCAUUAUUUUUAGUUACUGUGUA
ncrna:unclassified sequences IS605-orfB-I RNA